AUUGAACGCUGGCGGCAUGCCUUACACAUGCAAGUCGAACGGUAACGGGCCUUCGGGUGCCGACGAGUGGCGAACGGGUGAGUAAUGCAUCGGAACGUACCUUUCAGUGGGGGAUAACGUAGCGAAAGUUACGCUAAUACCGCAUAUUCUGUGAGCAGGAAAGCAGGGGAUCGCAAGACCUUGCGCUGAUUGAGCGGCCGAUGUCAGAUUAGCUAGUUGGUGAGGUAAAGGCUCACCAAGGCGACGAUCUGUAGCGGGUCUGAGAGGAUGAUCCGCCACACUGGAACUGAGACACGGUCCAGACUCCUACGGGAGGCAGCAGUGGGGAAUUUUGGACAAUGGGGGCAACCCUGAUCCAGCCAUGCCGCGUGAGUGAAGAAGGCCUUCGGGUUGUAAAGCUCUUUCAGACGGAAAGAAAACGCAUCGGUGAAUACCCGGUGUGGAUGACGGUACCGUAAGAAGAAGCACCGGCUAACUACGUGCCAGCAGCCGCGGU
rnacentral:rRNA from 1 species